AUGGAGGCAGCUAUUGAAACGGCGAGUUGGCUUCUCAGCAAGGCGCUCGCAAAGCUCUCGGACGAGCUGGUGGCCGCGUUCGUUGCCACCAGCUCCGAGCUCGGCCACAACUUCCAGAGCAUGAAGCACUGGCUGUGGCACACGCAAGGGCUGCUACACGCAGCCCGGAUCAGGGACAUGAGCAACAACCCUGGUCCUGGCCUGCAGGGCUUGCUCGCGGAGCUAAGCAAGAAGGCAGAUGAGGCCGAGGACUUGCUGGAUGAAAUCUGCUACUUCAUGAUCCAGGAUCAACUCGACCACACCAGCGAGGCCACCAUCCAGGACCCCGCCCCAAAUAUAGGCGAUCUCGUCCGUGGUCGUGCUCGUGAUGCUCACCAUGCUCUUCGCCACACCAUCGGUAACUGGCUUCCAUACUUUUCAAAUCCGGGUUCUGUCAACAGUAGUAGUAACACGUCCCGCAAAAAACAAAAAACAAAUAGUAGUAGUAACCCACAUCAUGCAACCAACUCUGGUGGCACUGAUGAUGCUUGCCCCAUCGACAGGCUAUCUUUCGACAGAGUAGACAUGUCCAACAGAAUCAAGUCCAUAAUUGAGGAAAUGAACUCUACAUGUGAACAUGUCUCCGACUUACUCAAAAUUGCAAACCAAAGUAGCACUGCAAUAACCACAACCCUCACCCUCAAAAGGCCAACCACGGGUUCAACAGUGGUGCAAGAUAAGUUGUUUGGGAGGGGUGACAUUUUUGAUAAAACUGUAACUGCUCUUACCGGUGGCACAUAUCACACUGAAACCCUCUCUAUUUUGCCUCUUGUUGGCCCUGGGGGUAUAGGAAAGACAACCUUCACCCAACACUUGUACAGUGAUGAAAAGAUCAUGAGGCACUUCACUGUCAAGGUAUGGGUAUGUGUCUCAACUGAUUUUGAUGUGCUUAACCUCACCCGGCAGAUCCUUAGAUGUGUACCUACAACAGAAAAAGAAGGAAACAAAAUUGUAAUCGAGACUGCCAAUUUAGACCAGCUUCAAAUAUCCAUUGCAGAGAGACUGAAGUCCACCAGGUUUUUAAUUGUCUUGGAUGAUAUUUGGAAAUGCAGCAGCGAAGGUGACUGGAAAAACCUAUUAGCUCCAUUCACUAAGGGGGAAACCAAGGGUAGCAUGAUUCUUGUCACAACCCGGUUUCCAUUAGUAGCACAUAUGGUGAAAACAACUGAUCCAAUAGAACUGCAUGGUUUGGAGCCUAAUGACUUCUUCACACUCUUUGAGUUUUCUAUAUUUGGUCAUAGCAAACCCCGGGAUUAUGAAGAUGACUUAAUUGGUGUUGCAAAAGAUAUUGCAAAAAGACUAAAGGGUUCACCACUAGCAGCCAAUACAAUCGGUCGGUUAUUGAGGAAAAACCUUUCUAAAGGAUAUUGGAAGGGAGUUCUUGAAAAAGAUGAGUGGCAACACAUGAAAAAUGAUGAUGAUAUUAUGCCAUCUCUUAAAAUUAGCUAUGAUUACCUUCCUUUCUAUCUAAAAAAAUGCUUUUCAUACCUUGCCCUCUUCCCUGAAGAUUAUAAGUUUUAUGAUAUAGAAAUUACUCGUUUUUGGAUUGCAGUAGGUAUCAUAAACUCUAGUUGCCAAAACGAUAAAAAUUACUUAGAAGAGCUAGUGGAUAAUGGUUUUCUCAUGAAGGGGUUUGAUGGGUUUGGUGAUCAAUGUUAUGUGAUGCAUGAUUUAUUCCAUGAACUGUCUCGGAAUGUUUCAUCACAAGAAUGUGUCAAUAUAAGUAGUUUAUGUUUUAGUGCCGAUAGCAUCCCAAAAUCUAUUCGGCACUUAUCAAUCACCAUAGAAGAUAUAUAUGGUGAAAGUUUUGAAGAAGAAAUGGGUAUACUAAAGAGAAGGGUAGACAUUGGAAAUUUGCGGACUUUGAUGAUUUUUGGGUUACAUAAUGCACGAGUAGAUAAUAUUUUCAAAAGUACAUUUGAAGAAAUAAAGAGUCUGAGAGUUCUGUUUAUAGGAAUGAACACUCCACAAUCUUUGCCAAAUGGAUUUUCCAAUCUUAUCCACCUCCAAUACCUUAAAAUUAGAUCACCUUAUAUAGAAGAAAUGACUUUACCUAGCUCAUUAUCUAGAUUUUACCACUUGAAAUUUUUGGACCUCGUAUAUUGGCAUGGAAGUAAAAAAUUGCCUAAAGACAUUAACCGCCUGGUGAAUCUACAACAUUUCCACUCAUCCAGAGAACUCCAUUCCAAUAUUCCUGAGGUUGGAAAGAUGAAGUGUUUACAGGAGCUAAAAGAAUUCUAUGUAAAGAAAGGGAGUGUUGGGUUUGAAUUGAGAGAGCUGGGGGAAUUGAGAGAGCUUGGAGGAAAACUCCGUAUAUGUAAUCUUGGAAUGAUUGCAUCCAAGGGAGAAGCUAGUGUUGCCAAACUGAAGAACAAAAGAAAUAUGAAAAAGUUGCGAUUAAUCUGGGGUCCACAACACCAGACUAUACAUGAUGAUGUUCUUGAUGGUCUUGAACCACACCCUAAUCUUUUGGUGCUUCAUAUAAUAAAUCCGGGUGUCGCCCCUUGUCCUAGCUGGCUGUGCGGCGAUAUUAGCACAAAAAGGUUAGAGUCUCUCCAUCUGGAGAAUGUAUCUUGGAGUACACUUCCACCUUUUGAGCAGCUACCACACCUCACCAAGCUCACUUUGAAGAAUAUAGCUAGCAUGCAUUCUUUUGGGCCUGGCAAUAAUGGUGUUACAGAGACAAGUUUCAUGCACCUGAAGACAAUUGUGUUUGAGGAUAUGCCAGUACUCGUGGAGUGGGUUGGCGAACCUAAUAGCCAUUUGUAUUCCAGGCUUGAAAGAAUCAAAUGUGCAGGUUGUCCCCUUCUCCGCUCAUUUCCGUUCUUGGAGUACUCAAGUCGGUUUACAAACCUGUGUGAACUUGUUAUUCAUAACUGCCCUGAGCUGUCCCAGUUUCCCUCCAUGCCUCACACCUCCACACUAACAUCUCUGAGUGUGAGGAAUGCUACCUCAAAGUUGUCAUACAAUGGAAAGGAAUUCACUAUCGGAGGGUAUAAUCAUGAUUUGUCCUUUGACAAUAUGGAUAAAGUAGAGGUUAUGGAAAUUAGGGAUGUAUCAGGCAUUUCGUUGUCAGACAUCCAACGCCUAAACUCCUUGAGAAGUCUGAGUGUUGAAAGAUGUGAAAACAUUUUCUCUGCGCAACUGGAUGACAAUGUCGCCCUCCAUUCAGUUCAGAGUCUUGAGCUAGAAGAAUUAAGUAUUACAGGAGAAGAGUUUUCAAAAGCCUUGAGGUCUUUUCCAGCUAUUUCCCAGCUUAGUAUCAACAAGUGCAAGAGCCUGGUUCUUCUGCCCUUGGAGGAUGGAGGAGGACUGUGGGACCUGGUGAUGCUCCAAUCGUUUUCUGCAUCAUACUGUCACAAGUUGUUCUGUCGGUGGCCCAUGGGAGAAGUAGGAGGAGCUCAGACCAUCAAGCCUUUUCCUCCUUCCCUCAGGAAACUGAAGAUUGUCGAAGAAUCAAGCAUAAAGUCAAUGGCCCUACUCUCAAACCUCACUUCUCUCACCUAUCUAGAGCUGGUAGAUUGUGAAGAAUUAACUAUGGAUGGGUUUAAUCCUCACAUCACAACCAACCUCAAGGAUUUGUCUAUCUAUGACAAACAAAGGAUCUCUGUAGGAGCGGAUGUGCUGUCAGAGGUGGCAAGGGAUGGACUGAUGCAUGCUGGUUCAUUCGAACUGGAAAAGCUUGCGGUGAACAGCAUCUCGGCGCUGCUUGGUUCUCCAGUUUGCAGCCACCUUGCCGCUACUCUCCACACAUUACAGUUUCGAUAUGAUCGGUGGGUAGAAACCUUCACGGAAGAGCAGGAGCAAGCCCUUCAGCUCCUCACCUCGCUCCAAGAUCUACAGUUUAGUGCUUGCAGUAGUUUGCAGUCCCUACCACAACAAUUGCGUGGCCUUUCUUCUCUCAGAACAUUAGUGAUCUUUGGGUGUGAAAAAAUCAGAUCGCUGCCGCCCAAGGAGAGCCUCAACGCUUCACUAAGUACAAUAAUCGUGGCAGAUUGCAGUCCCGAGUUAACUGAGAAUGCCAAGAAUUUGAAAAAAUCAGACACAUAUUCAGCAAAAAUAAUUGUGUGCCCAUGA
rnacentral:rRNA from 1 species